rnacentral:rRNA from 1 species
AUUGAACGCUGGCGGAAUGCUUUACACAUGCAAGUCGAACGGCAGCACGGACUUCGGUCUGGUGGCGAGUGGCGAACGGGUGAGUAAUGUAUCGGAACGUGCCCAGGCGUGGGGGAUAACGGAGGGAAAAUUACGCUAAUACCGCAAACGAGCUAGGAAUGAAAGCGGGGGAUCGCAAGACCCUGCGCGAACGGAGCGGGCGAUAUCAGCUUAGGUAGUUGGUGGGGUAAAGGCCCACCAAGUCAACGAUCUGUAGCUGGUCUGAGAGGCCGACCAGCCACACUGGAACUGAGACACGGUCCAGACUCCUACGGGAGGCAGCAGUGGGGAAUUUUGGACAAUGGGCGCAAGCCUGAUCCAGCCAUUCCGCGUGCAGGAUGAAGGCCCUCGGGUUGUAAACUGCUUUUGUACAGAACGAAAAGGUUUCUACUAAUACUAGGAGCUCAUGACGGUACUGUAAGAAUAAGCACCGGCUAACUACGUGCCAGCCGCCGCGGUAA